CCCCGGUAAACGGCGGCCGUAACUAUAACGGUCCUAAGGUAGCGAAAUUCCUUGUCGGGUAAGUUCCGACCUGCACGAAUGGCGUAAUGAUGGCCAGGCUGUCUCCACCCGAGACUCAGUGAAAUUGAACUCGCUGUGAAGAUGCAGUGUACCCGCGGCAAGACGGAAAGACCCCGUGAACCUUUACUAUAGCUUGACACUGAACAUUGAGCCUUGAUGUGUAGGAUAGGUGGGAGGCUUUGAAGUGUGGACGCCAGUCUGCAUGGAGCCGACCUUGAAAUACCACCCUUUAAUGUUUGAUGUUCUAACGUGGACCCGUAAUCCGGGUUGCGGACAGUGUCUGGUGGGUAGUUUGACUGGGGCGGUCUCCUCCUAAAGAGUAACGGAGGAGCACGAAGGUUGGCUAAUCCUGGUCGGACAUCAGGAGGUUAGUGCAAUGGCAUAAGCCAGCUUGACUGCGAGCGUGACGGCGCGAGCAGGUGCGAAAGCAGGUCAUAGUGAUCCGGUGGUUCUGAAUGGAAGGGCCAUCGCUCAACGGAUAAAAGGUACUCCGGGGAUAACAGGCUGAUACCGCCCAAGAGUUCAUAUCGACGGCGGUGUUUGGCACCUCGAUGUCGGCUCAUCACAUCCUGGGGCUGAAGUAGGUCCCAAGGGUAUGGCUGUUCGCCAUUUAAAGUGGUACGCGAGCUGGGUUUAGAACGUCGUGAGACAGUUCGGUCCCUAUCUGCCGUGGGCGCUGGAGAACUGAGGGGGGCUGCUCCUAGUACGAGAGGACCGGAGUGGACGCAUCACUGGUGUUCGGGUUGUCAUGCCAAUGGCACUGCCCGGUAGCUAAAUGCGGAAGAGAUAAGUGCUGAAAGCAUCUAAGCACGAAACUUGCCCCGAGAUGAGUUCUCCCUGAGACUUAGAGUCUCCUGAAGGAACGUUGAAGACGACGACGUUGAUAGGCCGGGUGUGUAAGCGCAGCGAUGCGUUGAGCUAACCGGUACUAAUGAACCGUGAGGCUUA
rnacentral:rRNA from 2 species